rnacentral:rRNA from 1 species
UGCCAGCCGCCGCGGUAAUACGGAGGGUGCAAGCGUUGUCCGGAAUCACUGGGCGUAAAGGGUGCGCAGGCGGGGCAGCAAGUCGGAGGUGAAAGCCCAUGGCUCAACCAUGGAAGUGCCUUCGAAACUGUUGCUCUUGAGUCCCGGAGAGGCUGUCGGAAUUCGUGGUGUAGCGGUGAACUGCGUAGAUAUCACGAGGAACACCAGAAGCGAAAGCGGACAGCUGGACGGGUACUGACGCGCAGGCACGAAAGCGUGGGGAGCAAACAGGAUUAGAAACCCGAGUAUCC